GGUCCGAUGGUGUAGUUGGUUAUCACGUCAGUCUAACAUUCUCUGAAUGGUUCACUGAAGGUCGGGAGAUCGAGCCUCCCUUGGAUCA